GAUGAAGAACGCAGCGAAAUGCGAUACGUAAUGUGAAUUGCAGAAUUCAGUGAAUCAUCGAAUCUUUGAACGCAUAUUGCGCUCUCUGGUAUUCCGGAGAGCAUGCUUGUUUGAGUAUCAGUAAACACCUCAACUCCCCUUUCUUUUUUGAAAUGGGAGCUGGACUUGAGUGAUCCCAACGCUUUUCUCACCGAAAAGUGGCGGGUUACUUGAAAUGCAGGUGCAGCUGGACUUUUCUCUGAGCUAAACGCAUAUCUAUUUAGUCUGCCUAAAAACAGAUUAUUACCUUUGCUGCAGCUAACAUAAAGGAGAUUAGUUCUUGUGCUGACUGAUGCAGGAUUCACAGAGACAGCUUCGGCUGGCCUUUGUAAACUCGAUCUCAAAUCAAGUAAGACUACCCGCUGAACUUAAGCAUAUCAAUAAGCGGAGGA
rnacentral:misc_RNA from 1 species